rnacentral:rRNA from 1 species
AUGCAAGUCGAACGCCCCGCAAGGGGAGUGGCAGACGGGUGAGUAACGCGUGGGAACAUGCCCUUUGGUUCGGAAUAACUCAGGGAAACUUGAGCUAAUACCGGAUAAGCCCGAGAGGGGAAAGAUUUAUCGCCGAAGGAUUGGCCCGCGUCCGAUUAGCUAGUUGGUGAGGUAAUGGCUCACCAAGGCGACGAUCGGUAACUGGUCUGAGAGGAUGAUCAGCCACAUUGGGACUGAGACACGGCCCAAACUCCUACGGGAGGCAGCAGUGGGGAAUAUUGGACAAUGGGCGCAAGCCUGAUCCAGCCAUGCCGCGUGAGUGAUGAAGGCCCUAGGGUUGUAAAGCUCUUUCGCCAGGGACGAUAAUGACGGUACCUGGAUAAGAAGCCCCGGCUAACUUCGUGCCAGCAGCCGCGGUAAUACGAAGGGGGCUAGCGUUGUUCGGAAUCACUGGGCGUAAAGCGCACGUAGGCGGAUCUUUAAGUCAGAGGUGAAAUCCCAGGGCUCAACCCUGGAACUGCCUUUGAUACUGGGGAUCUCGAGUCCGGGAGAGGUGAGUGGAACUGCGAGUGUAGAGGUGAAAUUCGUAGAUAUUCGCAAGAACACCAGUGGCGAAGGCGGCUCACUGGCCCGGUACUGACGCUGAGGUGCGAAAGCGUGGGGAGCAAACAGGAUUAGAUACCCUGGUAGUCCACGCCGUAAACGAUGGAUGCUAGCCGUUAGGCAGCUUGCUGCUUAGUGGCGCAGCUAACGC